CUUAGGAGUUUUAUUUUUUUUUUUGCUCCUCUUUUCAUUUGAUGCAUUUUUUUUGCAAACUUUCUUUCACUUUUCAUUUCAUUGAACUCAAAUUGAUUUCUUUUUGUGCCCAUUCCCUUUGAUAACAAAAAUGUGGUAGAACAUGGAUGAAUGAUGGAUGGAUGCAUGGUUUCAAGGGUCACCUUGGAAUAAACGGUAGCCAAGGAGUUAUCACACCACAAGGUACUCUUGACUAGGCCUUAAACCAUGGGUCAAAGGAUACUAGCAUGACACAUCCUAGGGUGUUUUAUAAGUAUUCUAACAAACAAAGUCUUAAGAAGAAAAAUCAUCUACUAGGGCCUAUAUACACUUGUCAAGCUUCCCAAGUAGACGGUUUCGCAAAAUUUUCCUAACAUGCAAGCUACAUGCCAUGAUGCAACUAACAUAUAUACAUCCUAAUGCAUAUGAUUCUACCAACUAAUAUGCCAUAUAAUCUAAAUGCAAGUCCUAAAUUCACAUUGUUUAUACCGCAUCAAUCAAAAUAAAGACACAUAGUCAUUAACAUAAAGAGGAAAAAGAAGAUUCGAAAGAUCAUACCAUGCGGUCUUCAAUAUCCUCAUGUCUCGGAUGUGGCGUAGUCGAUCAAUAUGAACAAGGAUAGACAAACAUAAUAUAUACAAGUCUACACUACAAAGGAAAUGAACUUGUUUUUGGAUUUUCAAUUUUUCAAUUUUUUUGAUUUUUUCGAAAUUUUUGGUUUUUUUUGGAUUUUUUUGAAUAAAAGUUAAGUUAGAAUUUCCCAUCCCCACACUAAUAUGGGCAUUGUCCUCAAUGGCCAAUAUGAUAGGAAAUUAUGCGAGUAUGAUGCAUGAUUUCUAUACUAGAUGCAAGCUAUUACAAUCUACACUACAUGAUGCAUGGGUUUUUGUUUAUGACGGAGAGCGUAAUUUAGAUUACCUCCCGUUGCGUAUGCAUGUACUUCCCCAACCCGAGAUAGACAUUAUUUCUAAUGUCUUAAAUUUUAGGGUAGUUCAUGCACACAAGAUGCAAUGCAUAAAACUAUAUAUUGUCAUUUUGGAUUUUUCAAAUGGGAACAAUAAAAAGAACACCUCAAUGGGGUCGAGGUGUUAGUCCUCAUGUUGCAAGGACUCUCCAAACUAUGAUC
rnacentral:misc_RNA from 1 species